AGAGUUUGAUCCUGGCUCAGGAUGAACGCUAGCGGCAGGCUUAACACAUGCAAGUCGAGGGGCAGCGGAGCGGAGUGCUUGCACUCUGCUGCCGGCGACCGGCGCACGGGUGAGUAACACGUAUGCAACCUGCCCCGGAGCGGGGGAUAACCCGGCGAAAGCCGGACUAAUACCGCGUAUAUAUCCAGGAGGCAUCUUCUGGAUAGGAAAGGACUUCGGUCCGCUCCGGGAUGGGCAUGCGGCGCAUUAGGCAGACGGCGGGGUAACGGCCCACCGUACCGACGAUGCGUAGGGGUUCUGAGAGGAAGGCCCCCCACACUGGUACUGAGACACGGACCAGACUCCUACGGGAGGCAGCAGUGAGGAAUAUUGGUCAAUGGGCGGAAGCCUGAACCAGCCAUGCCGCGUGCAGGAAGACGGCUCUAUGAGUUGUAAACUGCUUUUGUACGAGGGUAAACUCACCUACGUGUAGGUGACUGAAAGUAUCGUACGAAUAAGGAUCGGCUAACUCCGUGCCAGCAGCCGCGGUAAUACGGAGGAUUCAAGCGUUAUCCGGAUUUAUUGGGUUUAAAGGGUGCGUAGGCGGUUUGAUAAGUUAGAGGUGAAAUCCCGGGGCUUAACUCCGGAACUGCCUCUAAUACUGUUAGACUAGAGAGUAGUUGCGGUAGGCGGAAUGUAUGGUGUAGCGGUGAAAUGCUUAGAGAUCAUACAGAACACCGAUUGCGAAGGCAGCUUACCAAACUAUAUCUGACGUUGAGGCACGAAAGCGUGGGGAGCAAACAGGAUUAGAUACCCUGGUAGUCCACGCAGUAAACGAUGAUAACUCGUUGUCGGCGAUACACAGUCGGUGACUAAGCGAAAGCGAUAAGUUAUCCACCUGGGGAGUACGUUCGCAAGAAUGAAACUCAAAGGAAUUGACGGGGGCCCGCACAAGCGGAGGAACAUGUG
rnacentral:rRNA from 1 species